rnacentral:rRNA from 1 species
UACAGAGGGGGCAAGCGUUGUUCGGAAUUACUGGGCGUAAAGGGCGCGUAGGCGGCCCGCUAAGUCGAACGUGAAAUCCCCAGGCUCAACCUGGGAACUGCGUCCGAUACUGGCAGGCUUGAAUCCGGGAGAGGGAUGUGGAAUUCCAGGUGUAGCGGUGAAAUUCGUAGAUAUCUGGAGGAACACCGGUGGCGAAGGCGACAUCCUGGACCGGUAUUGACGCUGAGGCGCGAAAGCCAGGGGAGCAAACGGG